rnacentral:rRNA from 1 species
GGAGGGGUGCAAGCGUUAAUCGGAAUUACUGGGCGUAAAGGGUGCGUAGGUUGUUGAUUAAGUUAUCUGUGAAAGCCCCGGGCUUAACCUGGGUUGGUCAGAUAAAACUGGUUAACUAGAGUAUGGCAGAGGGUAGUGGAAUUUCCGGUGUAGCGGUGAAAUGCGUAGAUAUCGGAAGGAACACCAGUGGCGAAGGCGACUACCUGGGCUGAUACUGACACUGAGGCACGAAAGCGUGGGUAGCGAACAGGAUUAGAUACCCUGGUAGUCCACGCUGUAAACGAUGUCAACUAGCCGUUGGGCACAUGAAUGUGUUUAGUGGCGCAGCUAACGCGAUAAGUUGACCGCCUGGGGAGUACGGUCGCAAAGAUUA